rnacentral:rRNA from 1 species
CCUUCGGGUGGCAGCAGUGAGGAAUAUUGGUCAAUGGGCGCGAGCCUGAACCAGCCAAGUAGCGUGAAGGAUGACUGCCCUACGGGUUGUAAACUUCUUUUAUAAAGGAAUAAAGUGAGGCACGUGUGCCUUUUUGUAUGUACUUUAUGAAUAAGGAUCGGCUAACUCCGUGCCAGCAGCCGCGGUAAUACGGAGGAUCCGAGCGUUAUCCGGAUUUAUUGGGUUUAAAGGGAGCGUAGAUGGGUUGUUAAGUCAGUUGUGAAAGUUUGCGGCUCAACCAUAAAAUUGCAAUUGAUACUGGAAGUCUUGAGUACAGUUGAGGUAGGCGGAAUUCGUGGUGUAGCGGUGAAAUGCAUAGAUAUCACGAAGAACCCCGAUUGCGAAGGCAGCUUACUAAGCUGUGACUGACAUUGAUGCUCGAAAGUGUGGGGAUCAAACAGGAUUAGAUACCCUUGUAGUC